rnacentral:rRNA from 1 species
AGAGUUUGAUUAUGGCUCAGGACGAACGCUGGCGGCGUGCUUAACGCAUGCAAGUCGAGCGAUGAGGCUCUUCGGAAGUGGAUUAGCGGCGGACGGGUGAGUAACACGUGGGUAACCUGCCUCAUAGAGGGGAAUAGCCUUUCGAAAGGAAGAUUAAUACCGCAUAAGAUUGUAGUACCGCAUGGUACAGCAAUUAAAGGAGUAAUCCGCUAUGAGAUGGACCCGCGUCGCAUUAGCUAGUUGGUGAGGUAACGGCUCACCAAGGCGACGAUGCGUAGCCGACCUGAGAGGGUGAUCGGCCACAUUGGGACUGAGACACGGCCCAGACUCCUACGGGAGGCAGCAGUGGGGAAUAUUGCACAAUGGGGGAAACCCUGAUGCAGCAACGCCGCGUGAGUGAUGACGGUCUUCGGAUUGUAAAGCUCUGUCUUUAGGGACGAUAAUGACGGUACCUAAGGAGGAAGCCACGGCUAACUACGUGCCAGCCGCUGC